rnacentral:rRNA from 1 species
CCUACGGGAGGCAGCAGUAGGGAAUAUUGCUCAAUGGGGGAAACCCUGAAGCAGCAACGCCGCGUGGAGGAUGAAGGUUUUCGGAUUGUAAACUCCUUUUGUUAGAGAAGAUAAUGACGGUAUCUAACGAAUAAGCACCGGCUAACUCCGUGCCAGCAGCCGCGGUAAUACGGAGGGUGCAAGCGUUACUCGGAAUCACUGGGCGUAAAGAGGGCGUAGGCGGGAUAGCAAGUCAGAUGUGAAAUCCUAUGGCUUAACCAUAGAACUGCAUUUGAAACUGUUAUUCUAGAGUAUGGGAGAGGUAGGUGGAAUUCUUGGUGUAGGGGUAAAAUCCGUAGAGAUCAAGAGGAAUACUCAUUGCGAAGGCGACCUGCUAGAACAUAACUGACGCUGAUGCGCGAAAGCGUGGGGAGCAAACAGGAUUAGAUACCCCAGGUAGUC